ensembl:lncRNA
AUGCCCACAGCCAGCCCGGCCGUGCUGGCCUCUUCCCACAGGCCCACUUGCUGUGGACUGGUGAAGUCCAGUGAUGGGGAGCCUGGAGCAGGUGUCACCUCCCUGAUGGAGAAACCCUCUUCUGGGCACCAGGAAGGAAAUUUGAGAGCAGUUCCUACAGAACAGGUCCUGAGUCCUGCACCCUCCUGCUCCCCAUCCCUUCACCACCACAGCCCGUGCAUUGCCUCAGAGGGAGCCCUCACCGUGCCAGCCUCAGUGCCACUGAGGGGAGCACGCCUAAGGCCCAGCCCUUGCACAGUCAGUACUGCGGGACGAUCUCUGUGACUGUGAAGGAGAGGAUCUGUUGUGUGCACCUCUGCAGUGGUGAAAUGCUGAAGUGACCCAGCACAAGAAGCCUGGAGUCUCCAGUGGGAAAUGCACCGAUGUGGGCCCAAUGCUCCUCGCCUGCCAUGCUCUCAGCUAUGAGAAGGCAGCCUUGGGGACGGAAGCUAAGCUGCCCGGUGCUCGGGCAGUCAGAUGAGAUUGAUUUCCUUGAGAAUAACCAUGGCCCUCCAGCACACAGCUCAGAGGCGUGAUCAUGCUGGGGCAGGGGCACACAUGAGGUGAUGGGUGAGGGUGGUCCCAGCUUGCAGUUUGUGUUUGGUCCCAUCUCCUUGCUCUGAGCACAGAGCUGGGCUAGGUGAUCCCAGAGGUCCCUCCCUGCAUGCGUUACUCCACAUGCUGAGCAUCUUGAGCAAGCUAUUUAGGUCAGAGCCUCUGUGGAGCAGCACCCAGCCUCAGAGGAGUCAGACCAAGCCGCCCAGCACCCUGCUUACCAGCCUCAGUAUCUCUGGAAAACAUGGAUCUCAACUGCUUCGUUGCUUCCAUGUUGGAGGUGAAUCUUGCUUAUUUACAGGAACUUGAGGUGCUGAAGGCAACGUGCCUGGUGACUGUAAAGAUUAUUGUAAUAUACCAUCACUCAGCUGAAUCCCCGUCAGCCAGAAAGGUUUUGCACAAUGCUAUCUGAGGGAGGCAUUUCCAGUCAAAAGGAGCACUGCCUAUGGGGCCAAAUGGGAACCAUGUUUUGGUCUGGGGUCAGGCAACCUCAGCCUGCACAGACCCUGGGUCUGUGGUGGUAUCCCAUCCAACUCUCCUCCUUCCCUAUUUCCACUGGCCUUCAGGAAACUCCUGGCAGAACAAGUGGAGGCCCUGGGGAGCAGGCUGCCAACCUCCUGAUGAGGUUUCUCCUGUUUUCUGCUAAUACAGCAAGAAAAUAAAGGGAGUAGGCCUGAGGAGGCUGAGCGGUGGGACCAUCCCAUUGACACACAGAGCUCCAUGAACUGAGCUCAAGGGCACAGGGGCAUGCUCUUCUGUUCAUGCUUCUCUUCCCUGGUGAGGAGCUGCUCACGGUGACUGCUGCGAUAUCAGCUCCCCGUUCAUAGAAUCACUACGGUUGGAAAAGACUUCUAAGAUCAGCAAGUCCAACCCCAACCCGUCCCUGCCAUGCCCGCUGACCAUGUCCCUCAGCAUUGCAUCUCCAUGUUCCUCGAACACCUCCAGGGACAUCAGCCCCACCGCUGCCUGGGCAUCCCUCUUCCUGUGCUACAAAAUCCCACUCUCAUCAGAUGAGGAUGGCUCCUUUUAUUGCUGGGUGCUGCUUUGGGAAAGGUGCACAUGUCAGAAGGGAGCUCCAGCCGUGAUCGCUCCUCAUCCUUUGGUUUGCAUCAAACACCCCUUUGGGCUCAACGCCACAUCACAGCCUUCCCACCCGCACCACCAGCUCUGCCUUGCUGAGGCCAGAUAGGUUUGCAAAUAAGUUUUUUAAAAGAGUGUAUGCAAAAGACACACAAGCUGGUAGGUCCACAGUGCUCAGCUGGUGGGAGUUGAAUGCUUCUCUUCAGACAGAGCACAAGUCAUAAAACCUGGGGCAUGCAGGCCCCUGAGCCUGGAGAAGUGAGGACCUACCCAGCAGCCUCAGAUCCCAAACAAGAGUGGCUUUGCUCCACACUGGGAGGCUGCUUCCACCCUGUGGGCAGAGCCAAAUGCUUUGGGAUGGGGUAGGCAGACAUUUCCCUGGGUGUUCAGCUCCACACCUGGUUCUGCUUGCAUCAUGGGGAGCCAGCAGCUCUGUGUAACUCAAAAGAAAGCAAUGACUCACUGGGCUGCAGCUCUUUCCAAGUAUUUCAUGCAUUUCGCAGGCACGCUAGCCCGUGUUAUGAAAUGCCCUCUCUUUGCGGUGCGCAUUGUCAUGUCCUGUACAAAAACAGAGGGCUCAGUUUUCCAUUGUGCACUGGCACAGCGCAGAAAGAGGAGGUAACAUGCACAUAUUCUGUCUCCAAUGCUAUUUGCAUCGUAUUAGGAAUGCAAAAUGCCAUCCCCACACCACUCUGACAACCUGGCUGGCUCCCCGCUGACGUUAGCUCGGCCAUGAGGUGCUGGCGGAAUGUUUUAAUGAAAAUGUUAACAAAAAUAUAAAGUUCCACCCUCCAGCCAGGACUGGAGGGGUGGGAGAGGGGAGCAGGUGAGGAGCCAUGACCUGCACCAUGCUGCCAGGUCAGGGCUGUCCCCUGUCCCUGGGCGGGUGGCAGUGGGAGCACCAGGGCGAGGUCCCCAUCCACGCUGUCCUGAUUUUCUCCCUGCAGGGGCCGAGGGGCAGAGGCUCUCUCCAAGUCGUGCACCUGGGGCUGGUGUGACCCACUCCGUGGCGUCCAUGGAGAGCCCACCAGGCACAGCUCCAGGCAGACAAGAAGACCUAUGAUGGCAAGCAUGCCCGUGCCCCAUAUGUGCUUACAGAGUACAUCUUGGUGACAUUGUCCCCGUGCCACUCACUGACAUUAACAAAUGGAGUAAUUGCAGCUCCCUGCUGACUACGUGGGCUGGUUGCACCGGGCACAGCCAUAAACUCCUCCGGAGAAGCGCUCCUAUAUUAUAUAUUUUAGCAAUCUGUGCUCGGAAGCAGAUUUGAAUUUCCACUUCAGGCUCUGAGAACCGUUCCAUUGAGAUAGAGGCAGAUAACAUCUCCACUCAGGAUACCUCUGUGCCUUUCGCAGUCGGCGGCGUUUUUCUAAGAAUGCUCUCCAUUUUCAUAUCUCGCUAUAUCAUCUCAGCUGAAUAACCAUUAUUUUGCCUUUAAAAUAAGACGCGGAGUCUCUUAAGCACCGUUCCAUCGGAGCCCCGAUCCCAAUCAGCCCCCUCGCACCGCGCCGAGGGCAGCGAGCCCUGCGGCAUCGCCGGGUUUAGGGCUGUAAGGGCGGGUUCCAGGGCUCCCUUCCCCCUCCAUCCCCUCACCAUCGUCUUAAAACUGUUUUUUCUGUCCUGAAAAGGAAGAUGAGCUGUAAACGUUUUUAUUUUUUAUUUUUAUUAAAUCUGAAGCGAUUUGUGAGCGAAAUACCUGUAUGGACCACAAUAAAAGAUGUGUGCUUGCUGUCGGCCAGCAGUUCUCCCCCAGAGCCUCAAGCCCGGCUGUGGGGCGGCGCGCAGGGACGGCGGGGACAGCGUGGAACGCAGAGCUGUGUGCUGAACAGCAGCCACGAUUCUGUCAGCGCGAGUGAUGGUCUGUGUGAGGGAUUAAUCCGACACCAGACAGGGAUUCCUAAUCCUUCGCUAUAUCAUAAUCUAUUUACUUUGCAUGCUAAGAGGAUUUCGGCUUAAAAAUAUACAGGAAGUGAUACUAGAAAUGUACAUAAGAUGCAAAGCGCCGUUUCCUAAAAUCUCACUUUUUUUUUUUCCUUCCACCUCCCCCCAUAAAAUCCUCUGAUGGUUUUCUUGCAAAAGUCCCAUCCUGGAGGAGCGGGGACUGCUGUCCCCUGCGAACUCCGAAAGCUUUUGAUGCCCGACCGAGAUAACGGCGUUGCACCAGGAGCGGCGCUGGCACUU